GAUGAACGCUAGCGACAGGCUUAACACAUGCAAGUCGAGGGGCAGCACGGGAGUAGCAAUACAACUGUGGCGACCGGCGCACGGGUGAGUAACGCGUAUGCAACCUACCUAUCAGAGGGGAAUAACCCGGCGAAAGUCGGACUAAUACCGCAUAAAACAGGGGCACCGCAUGGUGAUAUUUGUUAAAGAAAUUCGCUGAUAGAUGGGCAUGCGUUCCAUUAGGUAGUUGGUGAGGUAACGGCUCACCAAGCCGACGAUGGAUAGGGGAACUGAGAGGUUGGUCCCCCACACUGGUACUGAGACACGGACCAGACUCCUACGGGAGGCAGCAGUGAGGAAUAUUGGUCAAUGGGCGAGAGCCUGAACCAGCCAAGUCGCGUGAAGGAAGAAGGAUCUAUGGUUCGUAAACUUCUUUUGCAGGGGAAUAAAGUGCAGGACGUGUCCUGUUUUGUAUGUACCCUGAGAAUAAGGAUCGGCUAACUCCGUGCCAGCAGCCGCCGUAA
rnacentral:rRNA from 1 species